ACUCCUACGGGAGGCAGCAGUAGGGAAUCUUCCACAAUGGGCGAAAGCCUGAUGGAGCAACGCCGCGUGGGUGAAGAAGGUCUUCGGAUCGUAAAAACCCUGUUGUUAGAGAAGAAAGUGCGUGAGAGUAACUGUUCACGUUUCGACGGUAUCUAACCAGAAAGCCACGGCUAACUACGUGCCAGCAGCCGCGGUAAUACGUAGGUGGCAAGCGUUAUCCGGAUUUAUUGGGCGUAAAGGGAACGCAGGCGGUCUUUUAAGUCUGAUGUGAAAGCCUUCGGCUUAACCGGAGUAGUGCAUUGGAAACUGGGAGACUUGAGUGCAGAAGAGGAGAGUGGAACUCCAUGUGUAGCGGUGAAAUGCGUAGAUAUAUGGAAGAACACCAGUGGCGAAAGCGGCUCUCUGGUCUGUAACUGACGCUGAGGUUCGAAAGCGUGGGUAGCAAACAGGAUUAGAUACCCUGGUAGGAUAGCG
rnacentral:rRNA from 1 species